UUCAACCUGCUAACCCGCAUUAGCUCGCCCUGCAUAAUCCGCGGCCCGUAAGCCCGCAAACCAAAAAAUAAAAAUUGACUUUGGCAGCAGUGGAGUAAAUGUUUUAUUUUUCUUCAUUUUCAUUUGGGGUAGAAAAUUACAAGGGUCAUUGGAGUUAUAAUUUCCUUAUAAGACUCUUUUUUGGUUUAAUUUUGGGGAUGAAAAUACAAAUAUGAUAUUUUUCAUGUAAUUUGGAAUAAAUAAUAGUGGAUAUGUUAGGUAGAGGGUAAGUCAAGAAUAUUGGAAGGUUAAUACUUAGAUUAUGUAACAUUCAAUUAAUGUUUAUUGUUGUAUUAAUCCUAAUGCCUUUGUUUUUUAUGACAAUUUUUCAAGAAAAAAAGUAUAAAAAAAAAUCAUUGAAUUUCUAAAAAAAAAUAAAAUUGAAUGCGGGUUGGUCGGGGCGGAACGGAAAGUCUAGUCUGCACUCACUUUGUGGGGCAGGCCAAGUGCGGGGCGGACCUAUGCGGGACGGACUGACCCGCUUUGCCAUCCCUAAUCAUCUCUAACUCUUUUCUAAAAUUUAAAGAUAUUUAGCUCAACCUUACACCUUAAAUUUUAUUUUAUUUUUAUUUUUUUCGGCAAAGAAUUAAAGAAUUAAAAUAAAUGGGACACUUUAGGGGUGUCCCAACCCUUAUACAAACCCAUCCAAGUUGGGCUAAGAUGCCUGUAAAAAACAUACCCCUUAUGGCAUCAUGUAAAAAAACCUGUUUAAAACCCCUUACAAAGUCUAGCUUCUAAACACAAUCUAAUCAUGACAGCAAAAUAACUAAACUCUAAAACAGUAUCCCAAAAAACCUUCACAACCCAACAGCUAUAACUUGCUUUCAAAAUCCAAAAAGUAAUUUACUAUAUGCUCUAUCUCUUACUUACUCCAACAAGACAUGCUUUGUGCAGUAGAACAUAUUCUCCAAAAUUUCCAUAUAUAACCAAGACCUAUCAAACCACCUAUUUGAACAACACCAUCAGUAGCAACAAAAGAACCAUACGUGAGACCACGCUCCAUAGGGAUUUAGAGCAUGUUUAAAUCUCCACCUUCAUCAAACAAAAGCAUAUUCGAACCACCAUAUUUUCACACUUCAAUCUUCUUUUAUAAUAUUAAUACUCUGAUCCCCUUCAGCUAUACCUGCACCAUCAACACAACCUUUCCCACCUCUCAAACUGGCUUAAACAAGCAAAACGAAACCAUAACCUUGCUCUUGAAAGAAUUAUAUCAUAUUUAUUACCACACCCAAACUAGUCAUUCAGGAUAUGAAGAGGGUUAAGAUAGCUCCUGUAAAAUACAUGCAUCAACAUAUGAAAAAAUAAAAACACUUUUAAUCCCUUACCUAGUUACCAUAUUAACACAGGUUAAUGGUGAUAAGAUCCAAUCAGAGAAGGAAAAUAUAACUUUCUUUUCUUUGUGUUUCAUCCAAACCCAAGAUUGUACUUGCGCCAUAGUGAAAAUCUCCUCUGCAUCUACCUUUGCUUGGUUAAAGAUAACCUUGUUUCUAUGCUUCCAAAUGCUUCAUACUAUGGAGACCCAAAGGCUUUUCCAUAACCUAUUGCCUUCUUUGUUAGAGCACAUACAAGAGAAUUGUUCAAAAUGAAAAAUCAAUUCUUUGUGGUUCACAUAACUAAUUCCCAACCAACUAAAGCACAUGUUCCAAACUUUACUUGAUUCCCUACAUGAAAGAAGGAUGUGUGCUAUUGUCUCCUCUUCGGUUCCACAUAAUGCGCAUAAAGUAUCUCCUAAUAACACUCCCCUUUUGUGCUGAUUCUGUUUUGUUGCUAACCUAUUCGAGAAAGCCCUCCACACAUAAAACAUGGCUGAGGGCAUAACCUUUAAAUUCCAAAGAGAACCAAACACUGAUACCCCCCCCCAAACUCGUGGUUAGCUAACUUAUUAUAAGCGGAUUUUACCGAAAAAGUGUAAGAUGGAGGAUCAUUCCAUAUCCUUGAGUCCUCUUUAUCAGGUUGUAGUAACACCUGUGAUAUUAUUGACAUCAACUCCUCUACCAUAGUUUUUUCCCAUUCAAACCAAUCUCUUCUCCAACUAAAUUUCCACUCCCACCCAUCUACAUUCCAACUACCAAAAUUAUCGAUAGUCUUGUCUUUAAGCUCAGAGUUAUUGUAUAUUCUUUCAUAUCUUACUCUGAGUUGACCAUUGGUUAGCCAUUCAUCUUCCCAGAAUUUGACUUUCGUCCCUGAUCCAACUUUCCAGACCAUAUUCUGAUUGAACCAAUUAACUCCUUGGUUUGAAAUACUAGCUUUGAAUAAAUCUAACCACCAUCUAAACGUAAACCUGUUUUGUUUCGGUACAUAUGAAUUUGACAACCACCUCAAACCAUACUUAGAUUCUAAGACCUCCUUCCAAAGACCAUAUUCUGUAAAACCCAGUCUCCAUAGCCAUUUGGCCAAAAGUGCCUUAUUGAACUGCUCAAUACGCCUAAUACCAAGACCUCCCUCCUCUUUCUCUUUACAAAUAUUAUCCCAACUAGUCCAAGCAAUUUUCCUUCCUUCCGUUCCCCACCCCCACAUAAACUUCCUCUGUAAUUUUGUAAUCUCCUUGCACACUCCAAUUGGUGCUUUAAAAAAGGAUAGGUAGAAUAGUGGAAUAGCGUUGAUAACCGAUUUUAUAAGGCACACUCUUCCCGCGAAUGACAGGUUCCUCCCCUUCCAUACAAAAAGUUUCUUCCUUAUCUUUGAUACCAUAAGCUCCCAAAAAGAACACCUAGAUGGAUUACCACCUAUAGUUAAACCUAAGUAGGAGAAAGAUAUCUCCAUUAUGUUGCAAUGGAGUAUUUCUGAAUACAAUUUCACCUCAUAACUAUCUACUCCAAUUGCGCUUAUCUUACUCUUAAAGAAGUUUACCCUGAGGCCCGAGCUUAAUUCAAAACAUCUUAAUAUAGCCUUAAUACACCUAAUAUUUUGCACGUUUGAUUCACAUAAGAAGAGGGUAUCGUCUGCAAAUUGGAGUAGAUCCACCUCCACGUUUUUAUCCCCUAUUUUAAUUCUUGAUAGCAAGUUUUUUCUUGUCGCUUGUUUUACAAGUCCAGAUAAACCUUGUGCGACAAUCAGAAACAAAAACGGUGCCACCAGAUCCCCCUGUCUAAGACCUCUAGUUGGUUUGAAUUCUUUUGUCGGACUACCAUUUACCAAAAUCGAGACUGUAGCCGAUUCAAGGCAAGCUCUAAUCCACUGAACCCAUUUUCCACAAAACCCUAGUCUUCCCAUCAUAUAAAAUAAGAACUCCCAACUUACCGAAUCGUAUGCCUUCUCAAAAUCAAGUUUCACAAUCAUCCCCCUUUUCUUCCUUCUUUUCAAGUCAUCCACAACCUCAUUCAUAACAAGAACACUAUCUAACAAUCCUCUAUUGAAAAAAAAAGCUGACUGUGAACCAUCAAUUACCUUCUCAAUUACUUUUUUAAUCCUAUUAGACAACACCUUUGUCAAAAUCUUAUACAAACAACUGACGAGUGAAAUAGGUCUGUAUUCUUCAAGGGAUUGAGGGUUCUCAGACUUCGGGAUCAACGUUAAGAAUGAAGCAUUACAGCCUUUCAGAAUCUUCCCCUCUUUGUGAAAGAAUUUUACUGCUCCCAACACAUCCUUUUCUAGUAGACACCAAUUAUUUUUAAUGAAACUAAAAGUUAUUCCGUCAGGUCCAGGGCUUUUAUGACUAUCACAAUUCCAAAUGGCUUCCUUUAUUUCCUUUUCAUCGAACGAUUCUGUCAAGAGUCUAUUAUCAGAUUCAAAAAUCUCCUUAAAUUCCACAUUGUCCAACCUAACUCCAAUAUCUUCGAUGGCCGACAUCUUGUUCUUGUAAAACUCUUUAACCACCUCCUUUACCCUAUUUGGUUCUUCCUUCUUCCACCCAAAUACCAGAGAAAUUACAGUGUGCUCCUUUUAUCUCAUUUCUCAUCCUCCUCCAUUUGAUGGAAGCAUGGAAGAAUUUUGAGUUGGAAUCCCCUUGUUUAAUCCAUAAUGCUCUUGACGUUUGUUGUAAUAAAGAUUCGUUCCUCUCAUUUAUGUCCUGUAGCUGGCUCAAAAGUUCUCUUCUUUCCCUGAUCUUGUUUUCGUCCAAGCCAUCUACAUCAUCUCUCAUAUCUAACUCUUGUAUAUUCCUCAAGAUAUCAAGUUUGAUCUUAUCAACAUGCCCGAAUACAUCUUUAUUCCAUCCUUACAGAUCACUCUUUAACAUCUUCAGUUUCUCUUUUAACACAAUGAUUUCGUUGCCCUGGACCAAAUAACUUUCCCAUUUACUUUUAAUAAAAUUUUCAAACUCCUUAUCUUCCUGCCAUAUGUCAAGAAACCUAAAAGGUUUUGGACCCCAAUCUACCACAUUUGAUUUUAGCACUAAAGCACAGUGGUCAGAUAUUUGUCUAUCUAAAACAUAUUGCUUACUUCCUGGCCAUUGUUGUAACCAUUCAAAGGAAAUUAAAAAUCUAUCAAGCCUGCUCUUAGCUUUACCAUUAGGUCUAUACCAAGUAUUUUCUUCCAAUACAGGGUAUAUCCACCAACUCCAUAUUAUCAAUGAAAUUAUUAAACUCUUGUAUUUCUCUCUUGUUACCAUUACCAUUGGAACUAUUUAUCCCCCUACGCUCCCUUUCACUCCUUAUAGAGUUGAAAUCCCCCAAAAUGCACCAAGAGUUACACGGUUCCCUUUGCCUAAUCUCUAAUAAGUCGACCCACAUUUACAUUUUCUCUUGCAGAUUGCAAGAAGAGUAUACGUUUACGAUAACAACAGGAAUAUUUUUCUCCUUAAAGAACCCUGAGAACACUAUGAACCGUCUGUUUAUGAUGUGAUUGGAACACUGAAAUUUUUUUUAUGCCAAAUCGUAAGAAUACCCCCUGACCCGUUAGUUGGAUUGCUAUAAAAAUAAUCAAUGUCGUUAUCUCCCCAUAACUGACAACAAUUAUUUAAACUAAAAUUUGACAAUCUUACUUCUUGCAAGCACAACAUUCUAACAUCUUCCUUUCUGAUCAAAUCCUUGUUAUGCCUCUACUUCACAGGACUCCCAAACCCUCUCACAUUUAACGUAAGAGUUCUCAUUGAUAACCUGUAACCUCCCUCACUUCCCUUUGGAGUUUCAUACUCCUAUCCCUUUUUUCUAUUUCUUCUAGGCUAACCAUGACAUUUCCUUCAACCCACAUGUAGCCCCUAACUGUUUACCCAAUUCCCAUACCUUAAAUAUUAUUAACUUGACUUAUUGCCUUGAAAAAAAAAUUAUAUAAGAAAUUGUGAAAGAUUGAUACAUCAUCCAAAGAAAAAAUUAAUUGUAAUAAGUUUAUAUUAAAAGUUGUAAACCAAAUCACAUUAAGAUUUUAAUCAUUGUAAAUUGUAUUAAAAGGUAGAAACAAUUUAUAUUAAGAGUUGAAUCACUUUAACUUAUAUUAAAAAUUGUACAAUGAUUUAUAUCAUGUAUUAAAAUUUGUACAAUGAUUUAUAUCAAGAAUUUAAUCACUAAAAGAGAAUGAUCUAAUUUAUAUUUGUACAACCAUUUAUAUCAAAAGUUUAAUUGUUCUAAGUUAUACUAAAUGAUGUACAAUAAUUUUUAUGAAGAGUUUAAUUGCUCUAAAUUGUAUUAAAAAGGUUUAAAAGAUUUAUAUUAAGAUUUUAAUCACUUUACGUUAUAUUGUACAAAAAUUUAUAUUAAUAGUUUACUUGCUUGUAGUUAAAGUUGUGCAACAAUUUAUACUUAAUUGCUUCUUAUUGUGUUAAAAUCUUUGCAUAAAUUUAUAUUAGGAGCUUAAUUACUCUAGAAUUUGUUUAGGUAUGUCUAAAAAUCCUACACCAUUUAAGAAUCAAGAUAAUAGCUAGUGAUAAAUAUUUUCUUUUCACAAUUCAUUAAGAAACCCUUUUUAAGUACAAAAAUGUAAUGAAGCAAUCAAACUCCAAAAUCAAUAAUGUGAUAAUAUUUACCUCAAUGAUUGUCUUAAAGGACUUGAAAUUAAAAUAUAUUCGUAAAAAUAUUAAUAUUAAGUGAUAAUAUCUAUAUUUUUUACUUUAAUGUAACCUUAAUUUUGGAAACUUCCAUUAUAAAAUCCAACAAAAAGAAUAUGAAAAAAAACAUGAAUUUAAGAAUAUGAUAUUUUUUUUAUUCUCUCCUAAACAUGAUUUUGGUUAAGGUAUGGUGGAUUUGACUAAGACCAAGAUAUUAUUGGUGGUUUUAUUCAUAAUCUCAAAAUUAGUCUAGGUUUUGGUGUCAUAAUAUUAAAUUUGGUUGAUGUUUCUUUCAGACUAAAGUUUAUCAUGUUCAUUUUUCUACCGGCAGAAUUGGAUUUAUUUUAUUAAUCUUUUUAAGCCAGCGUUAUUUCCUAACCAAGAUUAAUCAUAAUUUUCUUAGUUAAUAUUAAUUAUGUUUUUUAACUUAUAUCAAACUUUUUUUUUUCAAAUUUAUGUUCAUUGAGUUUUUUUUUAGUUGAUGUUAGUCGAGUUUUAUUCAAUAGAUAUCAAUUUGAGUUUUUUUUUUUUAACAUGAAUCAAUAUUAUUUCUCUAUCAAUGUUAGGUAUGAUUUUUUUUUAUUAACAUGGGAUGAAUAUUUUUUAGUUAAUGUCUACUAUGUUUUUUUUAUGUUAAUAAAAGUUUUUAUUUAUUUAUAUUAUUAAAAAAAAAUUAGACCAAUAUUCACUAGUGCGGAAGGAUUUACAAUGACGGCUAUUUUAUAUUUACAACGACGGCUAUUUAGCCGCAUUUGUUGUACAUGUAGUCUUAAAUCGAAGAGAUAAAAAUGCGGUUAUUUAGCCACAUUUGUAAAUGAGAUUUAUAAAUGUGGCUAUGGUAAAUAACCACAUUCUUAUUUAAAUUUUUUUAAAAAAAAAAAUUUAAAAUCCUAAACCCUAAGGUAGCAACGAGGCAGCAAUGGAGGCGACAACAACGACGGAGCAAAUACGACAUAUCAAAAACCCAAACAACAAACAAUGAAGCAGUGGUGACCUUCGCCAAUACAAGAAAACAAAGAGAUAAGAGAAACGAAAAAAAAAAUAUAUAAACCAAUGGUAAAGAAGAAAUAGAACUCAAAAAAACUUACAAUGACACAAAGAAGACAAUGAAGGCUCGCAGAAAAUGAGAGGAAGCACGAGAGCAGAAACAAAAGAGAAAAUGAAGCACCAGAUAACCCAUCACCAGUGCAAGAAAACAAACAAAUAAGUGAAACGAAAAAAUUUAUAAACCAUUGGUGAAGAAGAAAGAGAGCAUAUCGAAACGAACACUUACAAUGACACGAGAACACAAUGAAACUCGCAGAAGAAGAGAGGAACACCAGAGCAGAAACGUUUUGAAAACAUGAAAGCGUAAGCGACGCGUUUCAGAAUUAGGGUAAAAAUAAUUUAAGAAUGUGACUAUUUAUAAUAAUCGCAUUCUUAAAUGAAGUUAAUUUAAAAAAUGUCACCGCGUUUUGAAUGACAACGACUGACCCUAAAACCACAUUAAAUAAAUAGUCGUUGUUUCACUACAAGAAUAAUAAGAUUUAGCUGCAAUAAAAAGCGUGGGUCACACUAUUUGCAUAGGUUAAGCCUACACAAAAUGAAGAAGAAAAAAAAUAAAAUAAAUAGAGUCCGUCAAACACACGAAAAAUCCACACACUACAAGAAAAAAAUUAAUUAGUUUCCACAUAUUUGUGGAGGCCAAAUGUGGACGCAUUUUUCGUCGACCAAACCCACACAAAAUGGAUGCAAACUUAAAAUAAAAAUUAUAAUAAUAAAAUUUUAAAUUUUUGAAGGUUUAGCCCACGCUAUGCUUUUGAAGCUAAGUCCCCACUAUGCCUUUGAAGCUAAGUCCCCGCUACUUAAACGUUUUGAAGGUUCAGCUCACGCUAUGAUUUUAAAAUUAAAAAUAAUAAAAUUAUAAUUAAUUUAUUUCAAAACUUCUAGUUGUUGAAAGGUGUUGAACUCGAAUAUGAGUCAGAGAGCCCACAAAACUGUUGAGCAAACAUUUCUUCCUCCAAUCCUUCUUCUUCUUCUUCCUCCACUCCACAAAUCUCCGUGACGGUGACCGUGCUUCGACCGUGAAAGUGCGAUCAUGAACAUUCAUCCUCCACUCCUUCCUCUUCUUUGACCAUGACCGUGCUUAGACCGUGAACAUACGACCGUGAACAGUGAGUUUCGCAUUUCUUCCUCCAUUCCUUCUUCUUCUUUGACGACCGUUAAUGAGUAACCCUAGGUUCUUGAUGUAGGUUUCCCAUAUACUUGCUUUUUCUUACAAUUAUGAUGUUGAUUUGUGUAACCCUAGGAUGAUUUUUCUUCUUACAUGUUGAUUUAAGAGGAUGCUAAGUUCUCGAAUGAUUUUGAUGCUAAGUUCCUUGUAGGUCAUUGAUAGAGGACUGUGAAUAUCUUAGCUUUGUGAGGUUGGAUUUUAGCAGGAUUGUCCUUUAAGUGGAUUUUAGCAGGAUGGUCCUUAGUUUUCUAGUAGUGGAUGCAUAGUUGAAUCUCUAAUGUCAUUAUAUUAUUGACCACCCGAAUACAAAUAGUCCUUUACCUGACAUGUUACGAAUAAUUUGUGUAAAAAGGGUAUAAGUGAAUACACAUUGGAUUACCGAGGGAGUUAGGAGUAACAAUGGUCCUUUGCGUUAUUCUAAUUGUCUGUGGUAGGCAGCAAGAAUCAAAUUCCCCUCAACACCUUUCGAAAAUGAUUUAUGCUAUUUUAAUAUACCUUCUAAAGUUUGAUAGUACAUUGAAGAUUUAAAAUUGUCAAGAUGUUUGUAUAGGCAGAUUGUCAAGGAGUGAUGAUUGCUUAGUGAAGAAAAUAAGAGAGAAAAGUGACCGACCGACCAAAGAUUAAGAUAAUUGUUAUAUCAGCCUUUUUUUUUAAGGCAACAGUUACUUAUGCAUUAGAUAGAUAGUUAAGCUAGAACGAGAGUUGAAAAAAGACAUGGUGUGAAAUAAUUUAGUUUGUAGUUAUUAUACAAGUGGUGGAAGAGUGAGCAUUGUUUGUAUUUGUAGAGUUGAUGUGUCUGGUGUGUUCAUGUCCUCACUUAGGAUAUGUGCUUAACUAAUUCAGACCUAUGCAUGCAUUUGUCUUUUUUUUAAUAUGCGAUGGCAAAUGUAUGCACUUAGGAAUAUUUAUAUAAUGAUGAUUUUUCUUGGAGUAAAUUUUUGCAACACUUUCUCUUUUCUUCAUUGCCAGUUAUUUCAAAAUUUAGCUAUGAUAAACCAAAUGUAACCUUUCUGUUUCAGUUUUCUUAGUUCUUAUUGUCUUACGUUUGUGUCUGUUUUGUUUUUCUUGCACGUGCAGGCCUCCGUUUAACUUUAUUUGUCCAUUGUAAGUAGUUGCUAUCAGUACUCGUAAAUAUGAUGAUGUAUGUGUUCCUAAUUUUUUUUUCAGGUUUGUUUCUGUUCGUGCAAUGGAGAGUGACUCCCGUUCCAGCAACCAGCGAUGCCUUGCUUUUUGGGUUUUGUUUUCUUUGUCAAUGAUCAUGGAAAGGGGACUUUCAGUGUUAUUGAACUGGUACUUUUUUCUGCUGAGAAUUUAAUUGAAAAUUUGAGAAAAUCUAAAGUGUAUUUAGUUUACAUUAAUCAUUAAAUUCGCCUAAUUGUUAAUCAAUUUUUUGUCAUUUUUUAUUAACUCUUAUACUGUCAUUCCAUAGUUUUCUCUUUGAGGCUUUAAACUCCAAUAUUCUCUUCCAUAGAGUAUAUAACAAGUCAUAGAGCAAUGUGAUAACACUCACUUCUAUAGAGUACAAGUGGUCAUUAAGCAAUAUGAUCACAAUCACUUCCAUAGAGUACAACUGGUCUAAAACUUUCCUUUAAGCUUCGUAGGUACUUUGUGAUCACAAAUAUUUUGAGUUGAAAAUCACUUUACAAGUCAAAACUGAUUUCACACCAUUCUGAUAUGGUAUGAUAGUUUUGUUUGAUAAUUUUUAUAUAUCACUACCCAUAGAGCGGUGAUAGUUUUGUUGAAGAUGGAUGAAGCCUCUUCUCUACCUAGUGUUAGUUUGUGUUUGAUGUAGAAAAUAACUAGUUUGUUGUAAAGUUUGUAAUAGGUUUAGAUGAUCUUGUACGUAGGCUUGUGUAUGUGUAAGGUUGCCUUUUGCUACAUGAUCUAGUCUAGAUGCCUAACCAAGCCUAGAAUAAGCACAUGAAGUGGUUAAAAGUUUUUCCAAAAGCUUUUUAGAGUUUUCUCCUAAAAUCAGGAUACUGCACAAAAAUGAAUUUGUUUCUCUGUAAAAGAACAGGUUUAUUCUUUGGUCUGCUGAAAGAAUUUUCGAAAGUUAGUUAGGGCACCAAAGGUACAACUCAGACAGUUAUUUCAGUUAGCUGAGUUGGCAGUUUUCACGAAAUAAAUCUGUUAAGUUCAAAACUGAAUCUGUUGUUCUCAUAACAGCUUUUCAACUAUUUUUUGAAAAGAAGUUAGAAACUGUUUUCUAUAUAAAGAAAAGCCUCUCUCACAUGAAAGGAUGCUGAGCAAUUACGUUUUUGAUAGAGAUCAAACAAUUUCUAUGUGAGAAGAAGGAUUGAAAGGUUUUUGAAAGGUUUUCCAAAGGAAUUUUCAAGUGUGCUUGUUCUAGGAAACCUUUGAUCUUGGUGAAGGUGCUGGUGCAGUUCUGCAGCAAAUUGAACUACUGGUUUUGAGUUCUUGCAUCUUCUUUUCAGGUGUAAUCUUUCCUUUAUUCUGGUUUGUAAAGGUGUAAGUGUUAGUCACUCCUUGAUAGGGUUUCUUGGAGUGCAAGGUGUGCUGAAAUAGNNNNNNNNNNNNNNNNNNNNNNNNNNNNNNNNNNNNNNNNNNNNNNNNNNNNNNNNNNNNNNNNNNNNNNNNNNNNNNNNNNNNNNNNNNNNNNNNNNNNNNNNNNNNNNNNNNNNNNNNNNNNNNNNNNNNNNNNNNNNNNNNNNNNNNNNNNNNNNNNNNNNNNNNNNNNNNNNNNNNNNNNNNNNNNNNNNNNNNNNNNNNNNNNNNNNNNCUUUUGAAAUUGAAUCUGUUAAUUCUGGGUUUAAUAAAAACUGUUCUUCCUGAUUUGUUAAAGCUCUCUGAUCACAAACAAGGCAGUGGUAUAUGAUGUUUUAAUUGAUCUGUGAACAAAUAGUCUAUUCAUUAAAACCAGAGAAAGAGUCAUUCUCCUUAAAAUCUUGUGUUGAAUGAAUUUGAUUGAUUGCUUAGCAUAGCUGUAUUCUUCAUACUCAUAAUAUCCAAUUAAUCUGAUUCUGUUAUAACCCUUUGUUGAUCACAAUUUUAAUUUGAACAAAUUCAAGUUGUGUUAGACUGCUCUGAAGAAUCAAUCUGUUUCAUGUAAAAACAAUCUGUUCUUUUGCCUCUGAUAUACUGAAAAUUGUGUGUUCUUGCGAAAAUUUUAUAAGCUCAAUUCACCCCUCCCCUCUUGAACUUAGACACUAAUAGACCCAACAAUAUUGGCUAAUAAUUUCAUCACUACUAUAUACAUAUAUUCUAUGCAGAAAUAUGGAUCGAAGAUGGAUGUAUGAACGACUUGAUCCUUCAAGGAGACUUAGCAAACAAUUCAUUACACAUAUUUAANNNNNNNNNNNNNNNNNNNNNNNNNNNNNNNNNNNNNNNNNNNNNNNNNNNNNNNNNNNNNNNNNNNNNNNNNNNNNNNNNNNNNNNNNNNNNNNNNNNNAGAAGGUUGUCUUGUUCUAUCAUAUGUCCUCAUCCCUUGAUGAGCUACUCUCUUUCCAUUUUAAUUUGAUCAUGUUCCAAAGCCUAAAGGAUUUUCAAAACCUACGAAACAGACUUUGACAGACACAUUGAAUAGGCUAAUUUAUAAAAUGACACUGAGACACUGCAUAUAUAUAUAUAUAUAUAUAUCCCCAUGUAUGUAUAUAUAUAGAGAGAGAUAGACUCAAAUGAAAUGAAUAAUGUACAUAGAAUCUAAAGUGAUAAUCAAUACUUACUCCUUGUAUAUUCAUCUUCUUAUAAUAGUAAGCCUCAAAAGAAUAUUAGUGAGUACUCAUUAUUUUGCAAUGAAAGAACUGUCUCUUUAUAAAAGAAUCUCAAUAAGAUGAAAUUAUAACUUAGAAGAAAAGGUAUAUUCACCUUUCCAAAUCAACUAUUUUUUUCCUAUGAUAAUGAGCUUUACUAGAAGAGGUGAGAAGACAUUAGUAGUUUGAUGUCCUUCAAAGUGGAGGUGCUAGCGAGGAGUAACUGUUGAAAAUGUAUUUGCCAAUAUGGCACUUCAAGAAGGAGAGGUGUCUUUGCUUCAUAGUUCAAAACUUAUUUUAUCUUCUGAAAUUUUUAAGUUGAAGGUAUUAUAAAAAUAGUUUAGUGGCGCAUGCAUAUUUUGAGAGAAAAAUAUAUCCUUGGGAGGGUCAUUCAUAGUUGCUCAAAAUUGCCAAGAGAUCCAUUUACAUUCGGAUGAAGCAUAACACAUCUUCAUCUCUCAAGAAAUGGAGCAUCAUUUGUCAUGUUUCUUUCUUAAAAUAGUGGUUUUUUAAUGGUGUUUCCCUAUAUAUGUUGCAAUGUUUGAUUUUCUUUACCAUUCAUUUGUGUUCUGAUAGUAUAUUUGUGUAUUAUUUGUGUUGACAAACUACAACAAAGAAGAAAAUUUCUUAUGCUUUCUCGUUUCCUGCUGAACUUGAUAUGCGACAUAGAAUGUCUGAGCUGUCUCAGUUCGACUUGGUGUAUGACUUGUCAGCUGUACUGAUUCACAAGGGAACUGGUGCUAAUAGUGGUCAUUAAAUUGCUCAUAUUAAGGAUGUAAACAUUAGGCAAUGGUGGGAAUUUGAUGAUGAGCAUGUUACUAAUUUGGGUUGUCAUCCAUUUGGCGAAGGGUUUCAAAUUCUACCUCUAAAUCCAUCAAGACUGAUGCAAUUCAUUCUAAUUGUUCUCAAGUGAUAGUAGCUGACAGUAAUGGAAAUGGUUUGCAUGCCUUUCAUUCAAAAUCUUCACUUGUGGAGACAUUUUUGUCUAGUGAUGCGUACAUGUUGAUGUACCAUCUUAAACAUACAAAAAAUGUUGGUGAAAUUGGGAGUGUAAUUUGUGGUGCUAAGCAUGAUGAAAGAGAGGGUGUGGAAGUUGCUUUGCAAAAUGGUGCUUCUUUUGCAUCUCAUCUUUGUAAUGAGAUUCAAAAUUUCAAUGCCUCAUAUGAUGAAGCCUGUCAGGAGUACAAUAACAAGAAAGAGUUGGAAUUGGGUCGUAUUACUGGAAGGAGACAGGAGGUUCGAUCUGUUUUAGCUGAAGCUCCUGUUCAACCACUGGAAAAACCAUUUUAUUGGAUUUCUAGCGAAUGGCUUCGCCAGUGGGCUGACAACAUUAUUCCAGUGUUAGUGCUUUUCCUUUCAAACAAUUAUUAAAGUCAGGUUAAUUGAUGUAUUAGUAUUUUAUAGGAAGCUUACUUUGCAAGGUAUAUGCAGUCCUCUUGAAAACUUGUUUGUCCAAUGCUCACAUGGGAAAAUCCCAGUUUCAAAGGUUACCUCAAUGAAACGAGUGUCUGCUAAAGCACGGGAUACCUUGUUCUCCAAGGUAACUUUUUGUUGGUCUCCUGUUACAUAUUUUUUGUGGAUUAUUAAUUAUCUACAUGUGGUAUAAUGUUGUUAAGGUUUGUUUGGUGUUCAAGAUAUGAUAGGAUGAUACUGGGAUAAAAACAACUUACGAUAUGAAUAUGAUAGAAUCCAAGCUUGAUAAGCUUAAGCUAGUCAAAUGUUUGGUGCACCUUAGAUAAUUAGAUAACUAAAUUAUGUUACCUUUUCCUGUAUUCAACAUGGACCAAAUAAUGGUAAGAUAUGAUAGAAAUUAUGUUCAAAUGACAAAAUUACUCUUCCAUUAAAAUUACAUAUAGUUUCUCAUAUUUUAUUGCUUUCUAACUUAGUUCCUCCCUUUGAGGAUAAGAAAUGCUUUGCACGAUUAACAAUGAUUAUGUCUUGGGAAAGGUCAAAAUUGACAAGCAACUCUUUCAACCUAUUUUUAUGUUUUCAGUUGGGUAAUACUGGUAGGAAAGAUGAAAAGAAAAUUUACAAGAUGUAGUGGAGAUAAAUCUAGUGUUAUAAGUGAACUUUAGAAGUUGGGGGAGUGGUUGUGUUGCCCAUGACCACAUUUUUUACUGGUGAUGUCUGUAAGGAAACUAGUGUUUAUUGGGGGCUGAUGGAACAUAAACUUUCUUAGAAAUGCUUAUGUGAGGAGGAAAAUUUUGUUUAGUUAGCUAAAUUAAUUACAGUUUCUGGCAAGAGUAGAGGUCGAUGUUUGGUACUGCUUUUUUGUUGGUUUUAUGUUGUAUAAAUGUUGGUUUUCUACUGCAGUUUUGGUGUUGGUUUUAUGAUGUGCAAAUGCUGGUUUUCUGCUACAGUUUUAGUACUGUUUUUAGCUGGUUUUAUGCUGUAUAAAUGUUGGUUUAUGCUGCAGUUUUGGUGCUGUUUUGAUGCUGUUUUUGCUGCAGUUAAAGUGUUUUUGAUGUUCUUUUUGGAGCCUGGGCACUGUUGUUUUUAGGUUUAGUAGCAGGGUGUUAAGCAUAGUUUGUUUGAGUGUGUGUCCUUGUUCUUUGGGAAUGUUUGUAGUCAUCUGUUAUGUAGAUGAUCUUUUUAGUUUUAGGCUCUUUCUUGUUAUGUUAAAACAAGAAAGGUUUCAAACUGUUUAAGAUUUAACUUCUCUAGGUUGACAUGAUCAGAAAGUAGAAGUUUCUUGGAACCUUAUAUAACUCAACUUCUGUUUUUUAAAGCGUGUUUUCUGUUUUUCUUGGUAUUUUGAAGAGAGUGAAAGUAAGCUUGUCUUGGUAUCUACCAGCUCAACCUUAGUUAAUUAAAGUAACUUUAGUUCAAUUUCAAUCAAAAUAUCUUCAAUCAAAAACCACAAAUAUCACGUUUCUACCUUUGUAUUUUUGUACAAAAUUCCAAGUUUAUUAUCGUGGGCAUUGUAUUAGAAAAUAAUUUUUCUUGUUCUUUUCCUUGUUCCUAUUAAAAAAAUAUUUUUUCUUGCUCAUUUUAAAAACAAUAUUCAAUUUUCAAGACAAGUAAAAAGUAUAAAGAAAAAGUUAUAAAUAAAAUUUGUUUAGUAAGAAAAACAUUUCUUCAUAUUAGAUUGCUUCCUAAAAUAAUUUUAUCUUGAAUAAUUAUAUUGAAAAAAAUGAAAUAGGUAAAAAAUAGGAUAAAUUCAAUAAGAAAAAGAGAAGUAGAGUAAUAUAAAUUUGAUUUAUUUUAAUAAAAAAAUAGUUUUCUUUUUAAAAUUGAUUUAUUCUAAUAAAAAUAUAUUUCAAAUUGAAAUUCUUUGUGUGCUUGUAGGCUAAGCCUACACUUUUUCAAAUAAAAAAUAUAAAAAAUAUUUUGAAGGCUAAGUCCACGCUAAUUUGUGGCCAACAUGAAGGCUUAGCAUACGCUUAUUGUGUGUCCCUCGUACCUAAACUCACUCUACUUGAACAUUUUAAGGCUUAACGUGGGUCAAACUCACAAUUUUUUAUAACUACUUGGACAUUUUGAAGGUUUGGUCCACGUUAAUAUAAUUUUGUGUGGGCUUAGCGUGGGUCAAACUCACAAUUUUUUAUAAAUUUCUAAACUCCUUAUAGGCUAAGCCCACGCUUCACGUACGCAAAAAACACCCGCCAUGUGUCGCCCACACCCGUCAAUAUAUCUUUACGUCAAGUAUAUUAGCUUCAAAAUUCUUAUUAACGCUAUGCCAACGAUAAUCACCCUUUUGUGUAGGUUUUUCAUACUUAGCCUCCGUUUUUUGUCCACGAUAAUAAAACUCUUUUUUUUUAGUGUUUAUACAUUUUGUGCUAGUAAUUUUUAUUUUUUUAUAUUAGCUAGAGUUUUUUUUUUUUUUUUACCAAUGUGAGGAAGACUAGUUUUUGAGGAAUGUAAAUAAUUUUUUUUCAAUUGACAUCUCUUAUGGAUUUUUCCCCCUGAUAUAUGCAAUUAUUAAACAAAAUUUGUCAUCAACGUCAAUGUUAUUUCUUUUACAAUAGUUUUUUGUGAUUUUUUUUCUAACUAAAAAGAAAAUUAAUUUUUUUUAUUAAAGUUGGCAAAAAUUUCUCAACAAAAAAUACUAUUAAAAUAAUUUUAAUUUAUAUUAGCUUAAAUAAUUAUAGUUAAUAUUAAUUAAAAACAAUUCCGAUUGAUGUGAAUAUAAACCAAUAUUGGUUAAAAUAAUUAUUAAUACUUUAUUUGUAAUUAUUAAUAGUUUUUUAAUAUUUAAAUAUUUUUUAUAUUUAAUAGUAAUUAAAAUACUUUAUCUAAAUAAAUAAAAAAACGAAAAUUCAGUAAACGAAAACUGUUUGUUCAAAUAAAAUAUUUAAAAAAAAUUAAAGAAUUGAAAAAAAAAUUAAAUUUAUUUUAAAUGAUCUCUUCAAUAUUUUUAAUUUAUCAUUUUAGAACAACAAAAUAUUUGAAAUGAUAAAUGGUUAAAUUCCUUAUGGAUAUAUAAGAUAAGAGUCACAUGAAAGCUUUAUUUUAAAAAAAAUAUUAAAUAAGAGUCUUUCAUUGACAGUUUAAUAUCCGGGCCAUGCUGUGACUUAUGUGCUUCAAUUUGUAGAGAGUUUUUUUAAUGUAUCUUACGUUUUUCUUCCUGCAUCCUUACAAUUUUUAAAAUUCUUAAACUAGUUGUGUCCUUUUAUUUGAGUUUCUUUGUCACUGUUCUUCUUCUUCGUUCAUCAGUGACGUCGGUGGAGACUCAUUUUAGUUGCACGGAGCAAGAUAGAGGAGUGGAUAGCGUUGCCAAACUAUUAGAUAGCUUUUAGAGGUAACAACUGAGUUUUUUUUAAGAGGUUGGAUAUUUAUGGUAUUUUUAGAUUUUUGAAAAUUGGGAUUUGAGAUUGAGCUAUGGAUGGAUCAAUUUGGAAGUGAAAAUAUAAUCUAUGGAUUGGUCAUUUCGUAAGUAAAACUUUAUGUUUUCUUGAUGAGGGGGUGUUCCAUAAGCAAUUUUUUGACUUAUAAAUUGUUGUGUCCGGAAGCAAUUUUUCAGUUGCGAAUUGGUGGAUCCGGAAUGCAAUUUUUGGCUUACGAAUUGGUUCAAAAUGCAUUUUAAUCUGGAUAACUUCUGGACAUACUCAUCCAGGAAAUUUUUGGAUGACUCAAUCUAGGACUAUGUUACGAAAUUACGAUUCUGGAAAACAAAAAUAAUAGGAAGGAGAAGAAGAGACACCACCAAGUCGCCGAAGACACUAUUGAACCACCACCAAGCAAAAUAUUCCUCAUGAUUCCUGUGCAAUGAGAUGAUUCGUCGUGCAUAAAUAAAGGCCAAGAAGUGUAGGAAAUGUAGGUUUGUGGUGUGUGUAAGGAAGAAGAAGAAAGAGCGUGGAUAAUGUAUUUUAUGGUUUUAGAAAAUAAUAAGGAUAAUUUUGUCUUUGCAAAACAUUGUGUGGGUGCAGAAAGAAAAACAUAGAGGUGUAAGAAGAAACUCCAAAAUUUGUAAGUAUAGUGAGAACAACUUUUUUGGGAAACUUGUGUAACAUUUGUGUGGCUCCUAAAACAAAGAAAAAGAAUUAAAAAAGAAAGUUCUUAAACAAAUAUCCUCAAAUUCAAAAUCCGAAAAAAAGAAUAACUAUGGUUGGAUUUGGGAGUAGACAGUUGGAAACGAGGAAGACAUCUAGGGUCCAAAUCCACUUCUCUCAACCAAACAUAAGGUACUAGACAAUUCGUUAUUCCUCAUUUUUUUUUUCUUUUAUCAAUCACGUGUCACUGCUUAAUGUUCACAUUGUUUGUUCUGUGUGGCACAUUCAUUUUUUAAAAUAACAAUGUUAAUGUUAUAUAUGUAUUUAUUAACUUCACUAUGACACAAUUGUCAUCCUAAGGUAAAGUGGGUUUAGAGGUUAGAUGAGGUCUAUCUCACGGUUUAGUUGCCAGAUUCGACAAACGCAAAAGUUUACCUUACCCCUGAUGGCGUUUUUCAUCUUUCUAAUAAUGUUGGUGCUCAUGACAACCUCUAUGAGGUUAAGUUGGGACUUUUUUUCUCGAUAGCAAUAAUUGGGGUAUUAUUUCUCAUAGUAACACUUUUUUAACUUUAUUUCCCUUAAUAACAUUGAUUUGUGUCAUGCUGAGAAUUCAUUCACCACAUAAUUAAUCUCACCAUGACACAAAUAAGUGUUAUUGAGGAAAAUAAAGUACACAAUAUAAUAUUUCAUCCAUGCUGGUUGGGCCUUAUGUCUAUUGGGCCUAUGGUCAUUGUUGGUCCUUGUUGUAACAACACCAUCCUCUUGGGAAGAUACUUUGUCAUCAAAGUGGGGAGAUUGAUGGACUUGGGUUAGGCUUGUGGUUUGUGGGUCCUCAUUGAGAAUAUUAGGGUUAGUGAAUUGUGUGGAAGGAGUGUUCUGGAACAUUGGUGGAUUGAGUGGCUCGAGGGAGUGAGGAACAUGAGCCUUUUGAUGUGGCUGGUGUGUAUUGGUGGAUUAGGGAGGUGUUGUUAGGGAGUUUGGUGAGAGGGGUUUGGUUGCUUUUUGAUGGGCAGAGAGUUGGAGUUUGAGCUGGAAAGGUGUGAAGGGUGGUGAGCCUUUGAAGAGUCGCAACAAAGAAACAUGAAAAACGGGGUGGAUUUUUGAAGUCACUAGCAGUCGUAGUUUGUAUACUAUCAUGUCUAUACGGCAGAGGAUUUGAUAAAGUUCGGAGUAGUGUCGCGAGCUUAGGGAAUGAUCGUCGUUCAACAAAGUGUUGGUGAUACAGCUGGAGGCGGAGCCACACCCAGUGGGUGUUGAAUGACACGUUAAAGCGGUGGUGAUAUGCUUGAUCGCGCAUUCAUUUUUGCGUGCGUUGGAGGUGUCGCUUUAGUUCGUGCAAAAUGUGGUUGUCUUGGUUGAGCAUAUAAAAAACUAAUCCCUAACUGCAGGGUGUGGAGUAAGCCUAAGGUGGAUGGUGGUAGACGACUGUAGAGCGCCGUGAAUGGGGAUGUUCCAAUGGCAGAGUGGUGUGAUGUAUUGUACCAUAGUUCUUUGAGGUGGAGGAACUGAUACCAGGAGUUGGGUUGCUCACUGGUAAAACAAUGAAGGCAUGAUUCUAAUCCCCUAUUUAAAACUUUUGUCUGACCAUUUGUCUAGGUGAUAUGAUGAAUUGAAUUUGAGAGUGGCUCCUUAGGCUUGAAACAGGUUUCACUAAAAAUUGCUAAUGAAGAUGGGAUCGUGGUAGGAGAUUAGAGAAUUUGGGAGUCCAUGAAGGCGGAAGAUCUCACUGGAGAAUCUACGAACAAUGCCCUGAGCUUUGUAGUGAGUUGGAAGCGUGAGGAAAUGUGCAUAUUUUUUUAGGCGGUCACAUAUGACCCAGAUCAUUGUGUGCUCUGCUAAAGAAGGUAACUGGGUGAUGAAAUCCAUGGUUAAAUCUUCCCAAACUUGUGUUGGUGUUGGCAACGGUUGGAGUAAUUUGUUGGGUUUUUUUGGAAGGUAUUUGCUUCGUUGGCACGUGAAGCAAUGUUAAACAAAGGUUUUAACGUCACGGGUCCAUCCUGGACAAUAAAAUGAGGUUGCGACUCUUGCCAUGGUGGGUUUUAAACGUGAGUGCCCUGUUGUGGAGGAUUCAUGACAUUCGCGGAGAAUUUGUUUUCAAAAACCCUUAGCAUCUGGAGAAAAAUUUGAUUAUGAAAGAACAAUAGUCCUUUACGCAUAUGGAAUAAUGAUGGUGUUGGCUGGUUAUGGGUGUACUGCUGAAUUAUGUGGAGGUCGUCAAUGGUGGGAAAAUACUAUUUGAGCUCUUGGAGGAUUGUGGGUAUGGGGGAAGAGAUGACGAAUAACACGACUUGGACAACGAUUCAUGUUGGGAAAGGGCAUCAACCACUACAUUGGUUUUGCCAGGUUUGUACACUAUUUGAAAGUCACACCCUUGUAGUUUAACAGAUCAUUUUUGUUGUUUUGGGGUUUGAAUUGUUUGAGAUAAAAGGAUGUUGAGACUUUUUUUGGUCAGUAUAAAUGGUAAAUGUAGUGCCUAAUAAAUACUGACGCCACUUUAAUUACUUUUGUAAUGACAUACAUUUCUUGAACAUAAAUUGAUGUUGCUUGGAGGUGAGGAGACAUCUUUUUGUUGAAGAAGGGGAUGGGGAGGUUGGUCUGGUUGAGGAUAGUCCCUACAGUGACAACAAAGGCAUCUGUCUCCAUUGUGAAGGAUUGUUGGAAGUCGUAGUGUAGUUAUUUUUACUAUUUUUAUUUGUAAUGUUCUAAAGGCCUGUUGUGUCGUUGGUGUCCAUGUAAACUAUUUGUUUUGUAGAAAAUUGGUGAGUGGAGAGGCAAGAGUGGUAUAACGUUGUACGAAUUUUCUGUAAAAUUCGAUGACGCCGAGAAAAGCUCUAAAAUUUGUGGGAGAACGUAGCUGCAACCAUUCUGUUAUUACUUCGAUUUUUUUGUGAAUCAAGUGUCAUACCUGUAGGUGAAAUUAGGUGACCCAAAUAGCUAACUUGUGUGGUAGCAAAACUGCAUUUAAACAACUUAGCAAAAAAUUGAUGUUUUUCUAAUAAAUCCAAAAUAAGCUCUGAAUGACUUUGGUAUUAUAAGAUCAUUUAUAGUUGUUUGAAAUGUUGAUGGUGCAUUUUUGUCAAUCCAGAUGGAAUCACUAGAAAUUCGUAGUGUCCAUCCAUGGUUCCAAAAGUUGUUUUGUGUGUGUCUUGUGGGGUGAGCCGAAUUGGUGGUAUCCAGAGUAUACAUCAAUCUUAGUGAAAAUAGUAGCUGAGCCUAAUUCAUCUAGCAAUUCAUCAAUGGUACGUAUGGAAAAGCGGUCACGAAUGAUGAUUGUAUUUAAGACUCUGUAAUCUAUGCAAAAACCUCCAUGUACCAUCUUUUUUUCUAUUAAGAGGAUGGAGAGGAGAAUGGGCUUGUGCAGGGUUCAAUAAUUCCUUCUUGGAGCAUUUCUUGAAUGAGGAUAAAUAUGGUGUUCUUUUGUGAAUGAGGGUACCAAUAGGGCUUAACAAUGAUGGGGGAAGUGUUAGGGAAAAGGGGAAUGUGGUGGUCGUGUGGGCGAGGAGGUGGUAGACCUCAACGAUUGUGGAAGAUGGUUGGAUGUUGGAGUAGAAUGGAUUGGAUUGAGAAUGGAAAAGAGUAUAAAGGAGAGGAUGACGUUUGUAAGCUGAUUUCUAAAGGAAUGGAGGAGUGGGAGGGUGUGCCAAUGGAUAAUACAUGGAGGGAUGCCAUGGAUUUUAUGGAGAUGAGUUGGCAGAAUAGAUGAUAGGUGGCUUGGGUUGGUGUGGUGGUUGUGGUGGCUUUUACGAUGAUCGGUUGAUUUAGGUGGUUGAAGGCUAUGCUGGAAAUAGAGAAGUCAGCUAUAACAGGGCCCUAGGUGUGUAACCAUUCAAUUCCUAAAACAACAUAUGCGCCUUCAAUUGGGAGAAGGUAUAGGGGAAUUGUGAACGUAGUGUUUUGGGGAGUUAUAUCUAUUGAGGGGCAGAUGCCUUGGCAUUUGAUAACGACUUUGUUUCCUACCAUGACUGUAAAAGGGGGGUUGGGAGAAAUGGGUAGAUGGUGGAAGUGGACAAUAAGGAUUGUAGAAUAUUGUGGGAGCUACCUGAAUCGAUUAAUAUUGUGACUGAGAGGCUUUGAAUUAGACUAGUGAAUCUUAGGGUUUGUGGUAAAAGGUUGUCAUUAAGGGUUUCUGGCGAGUGAUGGAAAUGGAUCAUGCCCUCAAUGUGGGUUGGUUCGAUGGUGUCAUCGUGUCAUCAAAGGAUUCUAGAGGAUAAUCUAGGUUGUCAAGGAGUAGCAAAAAUUUGGAGGUGGAGCAUUUGUGGCCUAGAUAGAAUUUCUCAUCACAGUUAUAACAUAACCCCAAUGCUCUCCUUUCCCGAAGUUGUUCAAUUGUGAGGAGUUUAAUGGGUAGUUUAGGGGUUGUGGAAGGAAUCAGAGUGGGAUGUGGUACGUGGUGGGUAAUGGAACUAUCACUAUUGUUUUGUGUAGCUAUGACCGUUGGAGGGUUGGCAAAAUGGCGAAUGGUAUUAGUGGUGUGGUUCUGAGACAUGGUAAAGUUGGUGGAACAAAAGGAUUUGGGUUUGGAGUCCUUUAUUUUGUCCUCAAUGAGUUUGGCUAGGCCAAUGACGUGGGAUAUGGAGUAAGGGUUAAGUAUAGCUAGUUCCCUACGAAUCUUUGGGUGGAGGCUUGAGGUGAAACAAUUUAAUAUGGUUCAGCAGACAAGCCUUUAACACAAUUACAUAUUUUUUCGAAUCUGGCCUAAUAUUCUGCAAUCGAAGAGUGUUGCUGCAAUUUGAAUAGUUAUGCUUGAUGAUUGGUGUAGGAAGAUGGACAAAAAACGGAGUUCUAAGGCACGGGUAAAAGAAGGUCAACCAGUGAGGAGGUUGUUUUGAUGCAUCCACUUAAACCAGCUAAGAGUCUCCCCUUUCAUGUGAAAGGGAGCCUUGGAUAAUCUUUGUUCUAAGGGAAUUUGGUAGAACGUGAAAUAUCGGUCAACUUGAAAUAACCGGUCCAAAAGGUUCGUGACUUCAAAAAAUGUAAGUUGUAGUUUAGAUGGUCUUAAGAUGGGUAAUGGCAGGGGAUGAGUGUGGGAUUAAUCCUGUGUAAAAAUAUGCUGGAAAAAAUUAGGAGGUGGGAGAAAGGAAACCUGGUCUAUUACAGAUGUGAGUGAUGAUUGCAGAAAUUCAUUCCUGACUUCUAUAUUCGUCUGUCUGGUUUCAGUGACCUCCAUUUGAGCUUGUAUAGUUGAGAGACGUUGCUGGAUGACUUGGAGGAUUUCCUCAAGGUCUUUAGAUUAAGGUUUGGGAGGCAUGGAGGACGCCAAACGAAAGCACCAAUGUUAGGCUUAUGGUACUAAAUUCUCAAGAAAGGACACUAUCUAGGGUUAGAGAAUACUUCAUUCCUAAUUUAUUCAUGGUUGGCAUCACCUAAAUAGGUGAUGUUUUGGGCUGAUACACGUAGAUGGGCCCCGAUUCCCUAUUACAAACUUAAAUUACGAAAACUAGCAUGACCUAUUACACAAUAUAAAUUACUUCCUGCACCCAAUCAAUUGCUUCCUGCACCCGACAAACAUUUUAAAACCCCAUUUUGCCUUUGUCUUAUUUAACAUUUGCAGUUGAAGCUUUCGGACGCCCAUGUCCGUAGAAGGAAAAUGGCUUACGGAUAUCAUCAUCCGGAAUAGGGUUUUGUAUUUCGGAUGUACAUAUCCAAAAGAGUUAAAUGUGUUUUUGAAUAUGGGGAUGUGAAAGUAUACACACAACCUUACGGAUGAAACCAUCCGAAGCACAUAAAUCACUUCCGCAUAAAAGUAUGCGGAACGCACAGGACAUGUUAAAACUCACCUUGUCUUCUUUGGUGGCUUUGUUCUCUGUCGCUUUCAAACUCCCUCACAGACGAUGCCUCAGUGACCACAACAAUGGACGUCCUUUGCUCCUAGGUUUGUGUUUGUUGAAGGGCUCAUUCAAGUGAAGUUUUCGCUGCCUCAGAGGAGAAAUGCGAACAGGAGAAUGAGAAAACGACGGUGGCUCCUGGGUAGAGUGCUGCGAAAACAAAAACGAAGGAGGCGGUGGCGGCUACUGCAUUGCCUGUGAAAAUGAAGGGGGUUGAGUGCUGUGAUUGGGUGCAGAUUUCACUUAACUUAAUUUCAAUUUUAUUAAGGACAUUUUACUAUUUUCGGAUACACAAUUAGGUGUCAGUCUAAAUUAAUUGGGUGCAGGAGAAUCAACCUAUAAUCUUUCAUCCACGUUGGUUGGGCCUUAUGUCUAUUGGGCUUGUGGUCAUUGCUGUAAGAGUGGCAUAUGCUAUGGAAUUAGAGAAUUUUGACUUACACAAGUAAUAUAACAAAAUGCGUGAUAAGUGAUGGAGGAAUAAAAUUUACUAGCAAUAAUGCAUCCAUUAAACUACUCAGAAUCAAUAUUAGUCUUAUUGAUAGAGCCUCCAGUUAUAAAUUUGCUAAUUGUAAAGGGAUAGAACUAUGAGAGCCUGGAAAACAAGAUAUUAACAAUAAGGAGGGAGCUUCUACUGUUGAAGGAGAAGAUGCUGGCAAUAACACCAGAGAGAAAGUUGCAGCUAGCACGUAAUAUCCUUGCACACAUCAAAAUCUUGAACUCAGAAGCCUUACAAAUGCGCAGUGAUAUUUUCGGUCAGAUUAUGAAGUCAGCUGAAAGUUGUUUAAAUGGAGACAUUAUUUAUAUUGUUCUUCUUUUGUGUGUGGAAACAUUACCCCGUGUCAUUUAAACAUCAAAUGAAUACUCUUUCUAUAUUUUUAUCAACUUCAGUUGCAUUCGGAGUUACUUUAAAAUUAUACGGUGAAAUUGUUGUUUAAAUCUAUAUUAAUAUCAUAAGCUACAUGUUUAUAAUUGACAUUGUUCUAUUUAUAUGAUGGGAAAUUAUUAAUUAUAUGAGUUAAAAAAUAGUUAAUCCUGGGGGUGAAUCUAAAGGCUUGUUUCUUUCCAUAAUCUUUUCAAUGACUUCAAGUUUUCGAUCAUUUUAUCUGCUUGUACUUUGGUUGUAGAGUUUACUUGGGGAUCUCAACUCAAUCAAGCUCACAUAGAGCUUAAGAAAAAUGACUUGAUCAAGAGUGUUUGGUUGGAUGAUAGAAGUGAGAAAAAUUGAUUGAGUGUCAAAGUUGAUUUUAUAAAAAUGUAGGUUUUGACUAUUGAUAGUUUUAUUUGAUUCUCGAUUGAGAGCAGAUUCUGUGGAUAAAAUUUGUUAUUGAUAUAAGAAUUAUGUUCGUUUGACAACACUAUGGAAAAGGGUAUUUUGCUGACAAAUCUACAAUCAUUCAUCAACACAAAACCUAGACGAAACCAGAACCAAUCACGAACCCAUAAUCACUCUCCAAUCCACAACCACUCCCAAAAACAGUCACCAAUCCAAAAUCACUCAAAAAAUAGAACCAUUGCUUCAACAAAUUCACACUAGAAUUUCCACCCCAACUAAACACACACAACUCUUCCAAAUCCACCAACGAAGUUCACCACCCUAAAACGAAAAAAAAAAACCUAAUAUCAACCUUCAUUUCAACCAAAAAAUUUACCUUGAUUUUAACGAACAAGUCUUCCACGAUUUUAUUGCCUCCACCGUCUCAGCCAACAAUCCUUCCAAUACCAACCUUCAAACGAACCACACCACACACAAAUGGCAACAAAGACAACGAAAAGCAACAAAUAGAAGAACGAUAAAAUAGAAAACCUACAAAUGAGGCAACAGGAAGAAAGAAAGUGAAACAGAGCAGGAAUGAAAAAAUUGAAAUUCAAAAUCGAUUUUCUUCCAAAAAAUACACAAUCCCACACCAAAAUAUUAAAUUAUUAAACUUGCCAUAUUUUUGCCACAUCAACUUUUGUUAAGUGGGAAUGACUUGUCAAACGGUGUCAACUAUCACACUCUUU
rnacentral:lncRNA from 1 species